GCCUGGGAUUUUGAACACUUAGUCCCUGUCUCUUGCUGGCACUGCUGCUGGUGAGAAAGGAACGUCACUGGAUUCCUGAUCCAGAGUCCAGGUGUUGUGUUUCUCUAAGAGCCUUCAGGCUUUUCCUUGCUGAUCUAAAACUGCUUCAUGUCCCUGGUGAUGCUUUUGCAUUCAUUAUCUUGGCUACUUCCUAGGCCCUGUUCUUGCUAAUUUGCUUGUAUUAUUUCUUUUACAAUUUCUUUCUUUUGUUUUCUGUUCUUCUGUUUUGGGAUUUCUGUUAACUUUUGGUUUUGAAAUUUUUUUUUCUUUUUUUUGAGACAGAGUUUCACUCUUGUUGCCCAGGCUGGAGUGCAAUGGUGCGAUCUUGGCCCACCGCAACCUCAGCCUCCCUAGUAGCUGGGAUUACAGGCAUGUGCCACCACGCCUGGCUAAUUUUUGUAUCUUUAGUAGAGACGGGGUUUCU
rnacentral:lncRNA from 1 species